rnacentral:rRNA from 1 species
AUUGAACGCUGGCGGCAUGCUUUACACAUGCAAGUCGGACGAGUGGCGAACGGGUGAGUAACGCAUCGGAACGUACCGAGUAAUGGGGGAUAACUGUCCGAAAGGACAGCUAAUACCGCAUAUUAUUCGAGCGGCCGAUGUCUGAUUAGCUUGUUGGCGGGGUAAAGGCCCACCAAGGCGACGAUCAGUAGCGGGUCUGAGAGGAUGUUCCGCCACACGGGGACGGAGACACGGCCCAGACUCUUACGGGAGGCAGCAGGGGGGAAGUUGGGACAAUGGGCGCAAGCCUGAGCCAGCCAGGCGGGGUGUCUGAAGAAGGCCUUCGGGUUGUAAAGGACUUUUGUCAGGGAAGCGGUACCUGAAGAAUAAGCACCGGCUAACUACGUGCCAGCAGCCGCGUAAUUC